UUUUAGACCUAGGAGAAGACCCCAACCUAGCGCCGUUUCCAUCAGCUCUAAGCAGACCCCUCCUUCUCCAUCUUCUUUCUUCUUUUUUCAUUCUUACACAACACAGAAGAAGAGAUCCCCUCCCAAGCAGAAGAAAACAACGGACAUCUCCUGCUAACCAAAAUUCGAAAGCAAAAGAAGUCAUCAAAAAAUAAAAAUAAAAAUAAGACCAUUGUCCAAUUUCAUCAAAGAGACACACACCGAUACAGAAGAAAACCUUUUCCUCUUUUCUAUAAUUCUCAAAUCCGGGAAUUUCGCAAGCUAAAAAUGGGGUUCCAACCUGUUUUAAUCGGAAUUUGGAAUCAAGUCUGAUGUUCAUGUGCUGUUGAGCUUAUUCCCUGCAUUUUCAAACCUUUAUUUGGUCGUUGUUAUCUAUUUUUCUGUUAUAGGGCUUUUAGCGAGAGACAGUCCAUGAUGUUUUUAGCAUCCACUGUUCGUGAACCAUUGCAGUGCACUUCUUCUCACUGUUCCCUGCACAUAUAAAUCAUGGGUUAGAUUUAGGAACCCAAACUAGUUUGGGUCCCUUGUUAUGAGAAAAGGGAUAGAUGAGAGCUUUUCUAGUCCAUGCAGGCAAUAUUCGUUUCUUGCGAGCGGUACCUGGUCCCUUUUUAGUAGUCACUUUUUCAGUAAACACUUUAUUUUUCUGAACAGAUUGAACCCUAGCCUGACAGUUUUCUUUGAAGUGCUCAUUGUUCCCACAGUGACGUACUUGCUAUGAGGGUUGUAGGGAGUUUUCUCCUUUUGGAACCCGAUUCAUUGCCUGUUUCCACUAUUGUUGAAGUAUAUGGCAGUGACAACAUCUAA